CUUAGUACUGCCAUCUUAGACGUUACGUUCCUCAGUUUCUCUCUGUCUACAGUGUCAUAUUUAGCCUUGAUAUCCAUAUAGGGCAUUUAAUUAUACCUAUUAGUUUGGGAAAUAUUUCAUUAAAAUAUUUAUUUAUUUUUAUAUAUUUAGAACUGGUGAAUGUAUUGUGUUGUUUCCGUUUAUUAGAAAAACACUAAAUAAUGUGUUCGCAAAAUUUCAAAUCGUUAGUCGAAUUGAUUACAACGGCGUUUCGAAAAUAUGCUAAACGGUCAAAGUAGUACCAAAAAACCUAU